UCUGGAUUCACGGUCCAUAUUAUACUGAAGAUCCUGGGAAUUAUAAUGCUCUAUAGUACGAUCAUCCUCCUUGAGUGCUGGUUCAGAUUCUUCAAAAAACCAAAGAUGGAAACACAAGAACCAACCUAUGUCAACAGUGAGAUGGCGGCUAAGGCAUCAUGAGCCACAAGAAGAUCAGGAAGAUGUCAAGGCUUCUGUCAGUGGGAGGAUUUCUUAUUUCUGACCAUUCAUCUAUCUUUUCUUUUCUUUGUCCAAUUGUUGAAGUUCAGGGUCUGAAGAGGCUGGUUCCUGUCUGCAAAGGACAACAGGUUAAAG